rnacentral:lncRNA from 1 species
AUGCUAAGAAAAUGAUUAUGCACAAAAUCAACAACUAAAUAUCAAAUUCCAUGCUGAGAAAAUGAUACUAAAGCUUGUCUAUUCAUGGAAUCUUUUUGUGUGGUUACAGGUAGCUGGGGGAUGCUGGUAUGUUCUUGCAAUACAGCGUGUUGCUUCUUGUAUCAGACAGCAAUGCAUGAGGACCGCGAACUGUAACCUGAGUCUGUCUUGCCAAGAAGAGGUCUGUUACCAAUUCGUGUCACCCACUAGCACAAUUGGGUUUCCAUGCGUAUCUGGAAACCUCACCAGUGUGGUUAAGAAGCCUAUGUGCUUAGACUCUGACGGACCAUUCCGAUAUGGUAUCUACGGUUGGGCGCUUCCGGUCAUCUCUAGCAACUCUCUUGCCGUUAAGAUACUUUACCCUAUCUUCUGGGGGUUAACCUCUGGCACGUGUGGCUUCAGUUUAGGCUGGCUUACGUCUCGAGAGAGUCACUCGUCGUUGGGUGUGGGAAACUCGUUUGGGAUCCACGCGCCAUCGCGUCACACUACGCACGCUCCCUCACUGGCUUCUGGUUUGAUGUUAUAGUCAUCCUCCCGGUUCCGCAGGUUAAAAACUUUUUCAGAAAAGCCUUCAAACUAUUCCGAUAUUAUUGAAAUAACCAUAAACAUUUUAUUAGAGUCAAUUAAGCCCCCACGAAUCAAUCGAAAGUGUUAUUGUUUGCUUGCAGGCUGUGUUUUGGUUAGUGGUGCCAAAACUGAUAAGAGAAGAGAAGGUUAAGCUGAUAAUGACGAUCCUUCUGCUGAUCUUCUUGUUCCAGUUCCUCCCCAAGAUUUAUCACUGCAUCUGCUUGAUGAGAAGGAUGCAGAAGGUCACUGGUUACAUUUUCGGAACUAUUUGGUGGGGUUUUGCUCUUAACCUCAUCGCAUAUUUCAUCGCUUCUCAUGUAAGUCCAUGCUAAGAAAAUGAUUAUGCACAAAAUCAACAACUAAAUAUCAAAUUCCAUGCUGAGAAAAUGAUACUAAAGCUUGUCUAUUCAUGGAAUCUUUUUGUGUGGUUACAGGUAGCUGGGGGAUGCUGGUAUGUUCUUGCAAUACAGCGUGUUGCUUCUUGUAUCAGACAGCAAUGCAUGAGGACCGCGAACUGUAACCUGAGUCUGUCUUGCCAAGAAGAGGUCUGUUACCAAUUCGUGUCACCCACUAGCACAAUUGGAUUUCCUUGCUUAUCCGGAAACCUCACUAGUGUGGUUAAGAAGCCUAUGUGCUUAGACUCUAACGGACCAUUCCGAUAUGGUAUCUACGGUUGGGCACUUCCGGUCAUCUCCAGCAACUCUCUUGCGGUUAAGAUACUUUACCCUAUCUUCUGGGGUCUCAUGACUCUCAG